AACAGGGUCCCCACGAUACAGCCUCACACAGGAGUUUCCUAAAGAGCCAGACUGUCUAUCAGAUAUUGAAACCCUGGGCUCCUCCAUAGGCUGAGGACAAGUCAACACUAGAUACACUGAAUUGGACGUGUGGAAUACCAGAAAGGGUUUAAUAUACCUAUGUUGUGAUUAACACCAUUUCACUAGUGUAUCACCUUGUCCAACACUAACAAGUUUUACUUCCUGUUACUUCGCCAGCUGUUAAAGAUUGGAUGGACGGAUUGACAAGACUCAGUAACAGUUUGAGAUGGAUGAUGGCGGUAUACACCUGAAGACGCUUGGUUCCAUAGCGACCAGUGACAGUGACUCUACACGGGAGUAUACCUGAGAGGCCCCCAACCACCUGAUUCCCUCCUACCUGUUGAUUACCAGGUCCACACCUGAGAUGUUUUGUAAGUAAACACUCUACUCGCCUGCCUGGCUGAGCCAAGUGCCAGUAGUCUCUGUCAAGGUGUCACAUCAAAGUUUCAA